GAUGAACGCUGGCGGCGUGCUUAACACAUGCAAGUCGAACGGAAAGGCUCCUGCUUGCAGGGGUACUCGAGUGGCGAACGGGUGAGUAACACGUGGGUGAUCUGCCCUGCACUUCGGGAUAAGCCUUGGAAACUGGGUCUAAUACCGGAUAGGACGAUGUUUUGGAUGCCAUUGUGGAAAGUUUUUUCGGUGUGUGAUGAGCUCGCGGCCUAUCAGCUUGUUGGUGGGGUAAUGGCCUACCAAGGCGUCGACGGGUAGCCGGCCUGAGAGGGUGUACGGCGACAUUGGGACUGAGAGACGGCCCAGAAUCCUACGGGAGGCAGCAGUGGGGAAUAUUGCACAAUGGGCGCAAGCCUGAUGCAGCGACGCCGCGUGGGGGAUGACGGCCUUCGGGUUGUAAACACCUUUCGCUAGGGACGAAGCGCAAGUGACGGUACCUGGAGAAGAAGCACCGGCUAACUACGUG
rnacentral:rRNA from 1 species